CAGUAGCCGCGGGAAUACGGAGGGGGCUAGCGUUGUUCGGAAUUACUGGGCGUAAAGCGCACGUAGGCGGCUUUGAAAGUUAGAGGUGAAAGCCUGGGGCUCAACUCCAGAAUUGCCUUUAAGACUGCAUCGCUUGAACGUCGGAGAGGUGAGUGGAAUUCCGAGUGUAGAGGUGAAAUUCGUAGAUAUUCGGAAGAACACCAGUGGCGAAGGCGGCUUACUGGCUCAUUCUAGACGCUGAGGUGCGAAAGCGUGGGGAGCAAACAGGAUUAGAUACCCCCGUAGUCCCUGUCUCUUAUAA
rnacentral:rRNA from 1 species